rnacentral:tRNA from 1 species
AGUCUUAUAUUCAAUAAUGAUAUAAAAUUGCAAAUUUUAAAGAGUAAAUUUAUACUAAGGCUU